rnacentral:misc_RNA from 1 species
UCUCCGUUGGUGAACCAGCGGAGGGAUCAUUACAGGAUCGAAAGACUCCUAUAACCCCUGUGAACUUACUACAAAUACGUUGCUUCGGCGGGUGCCCCGGGUCUCCCGGGGCGUUCAGCCCGCCGGCAGCCUUCAAAUUCUGUUUCUUUGCGUUGGCAUCUCGAGUGUACAAAAAUAAGUUAAAACUUUCAACAACGGAUCUCUUGGUUCUG